UACGAGUGGUGCAAGCAUUAUUCGGAAUCAUUGGGCGUAAAGGGUGCGUAGGUGGCAUAUUAAGUCUACUGUUAAAUAUCUCGGCCUAACCGAGAGACUGCGGUGGAGACUGGUAAGCUAGAGGAUGGGAGAGAGAAGUGGAAUUCUCGGAGUAGCGGUAAAAUGCGUAGAUCUCGAGAGGAACACCGAUGGCGAAAGCAGCUCUUGGACCAAUCCUGACACUGAUGCACGAAAGCGUGGGGAGCAAACAGG
rnacentral:rRNA from 1 species